UACGGAGGGUGCAAGCGUUGUCCGGAUUUAUUGGGUUUAAAGGGUGCGUAGGCGGGUCAUUAAGUCAGUGGUGAAAGCCCACAGCUCAACUGUGGAACUGCCAUUGAUACUGGUGAUCUUGAGUAUAGAUGAGGCAGGCGGAAUUUACGAUGUAGCGGUGAAAUGCAUAGAUAUCGUAAAGAACACCUAUAGCGAAGGCAGCUUGCUAAACUAUAACUGACGCUGAGGCACGAAAGCAUGGGUAGCGAACAGG
rnacentral:rRNA from 1 species